UACGUAGGGGGCAAGCGUUGUCCGGAUUUAUUGGGCGUAAAGAGCUCGUAGGUGGUUCGGUAAGUCGGAUGUGAAAUCUCCAGGCUCAACCUGGAGGGGUCAUUCGAUACUGCCGUGACUAGAGGUCGGUAGGGGAGUGUGGAAUUCCUGGUGUAGCGGUGAAAUGCGCAGAUAUCAGGAAGAACACCCGUGGCGAAGGCGGCUCUCUGGGGACGGUACUGACGCUGAGACGCGAAAGCGUGGGGAGCGAACAGG
rnacentral:rRNA from 1 species